UUUUAUGUAGCUCAGUGGUAGAGCACUCUCCUACCAUGUGUGAGGCACCAAGUUCAAUUUCAAGUACUAGGGGAAAAAA
rnacentral:tRNA from 1 species